UACGGGGGGAGCAAGCGUUGUUCGGAUUUACUGGGCGUAAAGGGCGCGUAGGCGGUAGCACAAGUCAGUUGUGAAAUCUCCGGGCUUAACUCGGAAAGGUCAACUGAUACUGUGCGACUAGAGUGCAGAAGGGGCAACUGGAAUUCUCGGUGUAGCGGUGAAAUGCGUAGAUAUCGAGAGGAACACCUGCGGCGAAGGCGGCGCUCUGGGCCGGUACUGACGCUGAGGAGCGAAAGCGUGGGUAGCAAACAGG
rnacentral:rRNA from 1 species